rfam:Brassica napus, WGS project CCCW01000000 data, contig: 3052
AGAAUAUAAGAACCCGUCUCUUAAUUUUUAAUUAAAAAAAACUAAGAACCGGCUCUUAAAUAAGAGUUUUAAGAACCGGUUCUUAACUUUUUUAGUUAAAAGUUAAGAGAAGGGUUCUUAUAUUCC